AACGAACGCUGGCGGCGUGCCUAACACAUGCAAGUCGAGCGCGAAAAGGGCAACCUGAGUAGAGCGGCGCACGGGUGCGUAACACGUGGGUAAUCUGCCUUAGAGUCGAGGAUAACCUUCCGAAAGGUUGGCUAAUACUCGGUAAGCUUACGGUGUCUUCGGACGCUGUGGGAAAAGUAGGCCUCUGUUUACAAGCUUACGCUCUGAGAUGAGCCCGCGGCCCAUCAGCUAGUUGGCGGUGUAACGGACCACCAAGGCAACGACGGGUAGCUGGUCUGAGAGGACGAUCAGCCAGACUGGAACUGAGACACGGUCCAGACUCCUACGGGAGGCAGCAGUGGGGAAUUUUCCACAAUGGGCGAAAGCCUGAUGGAGCAACGCCGCGUGUGUGAUGAAGGUUUUCGGAUCGUAAAGCACUUUCGACUGGGACGAAAAACCUUUGGCUAACAUCCAGGGGCCUGACGGUACCAGGAGAAGAAGCACCGGCUAACUCUGUGCCAGCCGCCGCCGUAACAC
rnacentral:rRNA from 1 species